UACAGAGGUCCCGAGCGUUGUUCGGAUUCACUGGGCGUAAAGGGUGCGUAGGUGGCCUGAAAAGUUUGAUGUGAAAGCUCAGGGCUUAACCCUGAAAUGGCAUUGAAUACUGUUGGGCUGGAGGUUUGGAGGGGGGACUGGAAUUCUUGGUGUAGCGGUGAAAUGCGUAGAUAUCAAGAGGAACACCAGUGGCGAAGGCGAGUCCCUGGACAACACCUGACACUGAGGCACGAAAGCGUGGGGAUCAAACAGG
rnacentral:rRNA from 1 species